AAACAUGUGAGGCCACCAGUGCUUCACAGAUUCAAGUCCAGAGGUGUGGCAGUUCUGGAAGGCAGGACACUGUGAUGGAAAAGAGCACCAGGAGGCCAUCCCAGCUCUGACUGUUAUAGCUGUGAGGCCUGGACAAGUUACUUAGUUUCUUGAGGCUUCUGUUUCCUCACUUUAAAUUCAAGAUACCAACAGGACAUACCUUGUAAGGUUGAGAUUAAUACCUGCACAGUGAUUAAAACUGCUCCUGGUGCUUCAUAAACCCAGGCUGUAUGUGCAUCACCCAUAUCCUGGUCUCCAUUAGGUAAGUGAGACAUGUUCUAGAACAACCUCCAACCUCCUUUAAAGGAAGUAUAAACCUUUAUUUAAAAGCUUGCUCUGGAUGACUCAUAAACAUCUAUAUAUAACAAUUAACUUCUCUCCCAUUAAAAGGAGUGAUUCUCUUCCCUGUGACAAUUCUAGCCAGCUAAAUUGCCUUAAUUUAUAAGCAACUGUUUUUUUGGUCAUUUGUUGAAAAUACCUCUCAUAGGUGUACCUCCUGCUAGGCAAUAAAUGGUUCUUGAAAAGUU